AUCAGGCAGAAAAAUCAGAAGCUAAAGAGGGAAAAACCUGGACGAAUCACAGGCCUCACAGGACUCUCCCAUGAGCAGUGCCCCAAGGAAAGAGUGAAACCACUGACUGACCUUUCUCAUGCUGAAGCCAGUUGUUCUCCAGCGUGGUCCUGCCCCAGAGUGCGUUGGCUCCAUCCACCGCCACCAGCAGGCGGAACAGUCCCUGAGCACUUUGCCUCUUCAGCUCUUUGAGGACCACCCCAACGGCAUCGGUGGCGUUCCGCACCCGCGUGAUGCCCUGCAGACAUACUUCUGUUGAACUGUAAUCUAAAAACAAGCAAAGGAAACGAGAAUCAACAAGCAGCUAAAGGGGCCCUGAGAACAAGUCUGAGGAGGGGGCUUGGGGAGAGCAGAUACACGUUUGAUUUCUCAUAAAGGAUGUAAGAGAGAACAGUGUGAAAGGGAAUGAUUUUGAGCCCAUUUGUACCUGGGUCUUUAAAAACUGGCUUAGAAGGGUGCUUGGAAGCUUCUGGCUAAUUUUUUCUUCCACUUGCAACCUGCUUGUGGGAACAGUGGAGAGAUUGUGAUACCCUGUCGCAGCCCACUCUGCAUCCAGAGCGAAGGCGUCCCUGAGUGAUCUGACCCUGGUCAAAGUGAGUCAAGAUGCCACCAGGUAACAGAU